AGUGAACGCUGGCGGUAUGCCUAACACAUGCAAGUCGAACGGCAGCACAGUAAGAGCUUGCUCUUACGGGUGGCGAGUGGCGGACGGGUGAGGAAUACAUCGGCAUCUACUUUUUCGUGGGGGACAACGUAGGGAAACUUACGCUAAUACCGCAUACGACCUACGGGUGAAAGCAGGGGAUCUUCGGACCUUGCGCGAUUGAAUGAGCCGAUGUCGGAUUAGCUAGUUGGCGGGGUAAAGGCCCACCAAGGCGACGAUCCGUAGCUGGUCUGAGAGGAUGAUCAGCCACACUGGAACUGAGACACGGUCCAGACUCCUACGGGAGGCAGCAGUGGGGAAUAUUGGACAAUGGGCGCAAGCCUGAUCCAGCCAUACCGCGUGGGUGAAGAAGGCCUUCGGGUUGUAAAGCCCUUUUGUUGGGAAAGAAAAGCAGCAGGUUAAUACCCCGCUGUUCUGACGGUACCCAAAGAAUAAGCAACGGCUAACUUCGUG
rnacentral:rRNA from 1 species